AGGUUUCCAGGGGAAGGUUCGUCCGCCCUGGGUUAGUCGGGACCUAAGCUGAGGCCGAAAGGCGUAGGGGAUGGACAACAGGUUGAUAUUCCUGUACUACCGAUAACCGUUUGAGAGAGGGGAUGACACAGUAGGAUAAGCUAAGCACACUGUUGGUUAUGUGUGCCCAAGCAUUGAGGCAGUCAAAGUAGGCAAAUCCGCUUUGAUAAUGCUGGGAUGUGAUGGGGAGCGAAAUUUAGUAGCGAAGUAGCUGAUUUCACACUGUCAAGAAAAGUCUCUAUCGAGGUUAAAGGUACCCGUACCGCAAACCGACACAGGUGGGUGAGGAGAGUAUCCUAAGGCCAGCGAGAGAACUGUUGUUAAGGAACUCGGCAAAAUGACCCCGUAACUUAGGGAUAAGGGGUGCCACCAUCAGGUGGCCGCAGAGAAUAGGCCCAAGCGACUGUUUACCAAAAACAUAGGUUUCUGCUAAGUCGCAAGACGAUGUAUAGG
rnacentral:rRNA from 1 species